GUAUAAGCAAUUAUACCGUGAACUGCGAAUGGCUCAUUAAAUCAGUUAUCGUUUAUUUGAUAGUACCUUACUACUUGGAUAACCGUGGUAAUUCUAGAGCUAAUACAUGCUAAAAGCCUCGACUUCGGGAGAGGCGUAUUUAUUAGAUAAAAAGCCAAUGCCCUUCGGGGCUCCUUGGUGAUUCAUGAUAACUUAACGGAUCGCAUGGCCUUGCGCCGGCGACGGUUCAUUCAAAUUUCUGCCCUAUCAACUUUCGAUGGUAAGGUAUUGGCUUACCAUGGUUUCAACGGGUAACGGGGGAUUAGGGUUCGAUUCCGGAGAGGGAGCCUGAGAAACGGCUACCACAUCCAAGGAAGGCAGCAGGCGCGCAAAUUACCCAAUCCCGACACGGGGAGGUAGUGACAAUAAAUACUGAUACAGGGCUCUUUUGGGUCUUGUAAUCGGAAUGAGUACAAUUUAAAUCCCUUAACGAGGAACAAUUGGAGGGCAAGUCUGGUGCCAGCAGCCGCGGUAAUUCCAGCUCCAAUAGCGUAUAUUAAAGUUGUUGCAGUUAAAAAGCUCGUAGUUGAACCUUGGGCCUGGCUGGCCGGUCCGCCUCACCGCGUGUACUGGUCCGGCCGGGCCUUUCCUUCUGGUGAGCCUCAUGCCCUUCACUGGGUGUGCUGGGGAACCAGGACUUUUACUGUGAACAAAUUAGAGUGUUCAAAGCAGGCCUUUGCUCGAAUACAUUAGCAUGGAAUAAUGAAAUAGGACGUGCGGUCCUAUUUUGUUGGUUUCUAGGACCGCCGUAAUGAUUAAUAGGGAUAGUCGGGGGCAUCAGUAUUCAAUUGUCAGAGGUGAAAUUCUUGGAUUUAUUGAAGACUAACUACUGCGAAAGCAUUUGCCAAGGAUGUUUUCAUUAAUCAGUGAACGAAAGUUAGGGGAUCGAAGACGAUCAGAUACCGUCGUAGUCUUAACCGUAAACUAUGCCGACUAGGGAUCGGGCGAUGUUUCUAUCUUGACUCGCUCGGCACCUUACGAGAAAUCAUAAGUUUU
rnacentral:rRNA from 1 species